UACAGAGGUCUCGAGCGUUAGGCGGAAUCACUGGGCUUAAAGCGUGUGUAGGUGGAUCGGUAAGUACCUUGUGAAAUCCCACGGCUUAACCGUGGAACUGCUUGGUAUACUGCCAGUCUUGAGCCAGCUAGGGGCUACCGGAACAAAUGGUGGAGCGGUGAAAUGCGUAGAUAUCAUUUGGAACGCCAAUGGUGAAAACAGGUAGCUGGGGCUGUGCUGACGCUGAUACGCGAAAGCGUGGGGAGCAAACAGG
rnacentral:rRNA from 1 species